GCGAUACGGAACGAGAGAGGAGGAACGCUCUUAUGGACUUUUAACGACGACUUUGGGGAGUUUUUAAUAUCCACGUGUUUUCAUUUACACGUCAUCAUUUAUUUACAUGAUUUUGUCGUGGCAUGUCGGUUCCCGUUGUUACGAGCUCUAUGGGACUAUAUACUGCAUGAGUUGAGAAGGAAGGAUUGGGUCGGUUGAUGCAUGCCUGGGUUGACAUCGAUCACUGCUCUGCCCGGCAGCCUUCUCUUUCCAGAGGAGUGGUUUACGCUGUAUCCUCUACAGGGGGAGUUUAGAUAAAGUAUCAAGGUGAGUGAUCUGUUGGGAUACACUGAGAGCAGUGGGGUCGCAUGGGACACACCUGACAUGGAGGUUAAAGGUCAUCUCAUCUCAGUGCCUGACCUGCUGGGUGGCGGCCAGGAGGGAGGUGAGCAGCGUGUUGACAGGAUGACACAACUACGAGAGAGGAGAAGCAGUCUACAAACUCUACUGAAUACCAGACUGGCUGAGCUACGGAGGGUCUGUC